CCCUGGUUAGCUCAGUUGGUGGAGCGCUCCACCUGUAAUGGAGAGGUCCCGGGUUCGAUACCCGGACCAGGCG
rfam:Ixodes scapularis strain Wikel colony gcontig_1107728684118, whole genome shotgun sequence.